GAUGAAGAACGUAGCGAAAUGCGAUACUUGGUGUGAAUUGCAGAAUCCCGUGAACCAUCGAGUCUUUGAACGCAAGUUGCGCCCGAAGCCAUCAGGUUGAGGGCACGUCUGCCUGGGCGUCACAUAUCGUUGCCCAAUGCCUAUUGCAGUGCAAUAGGAAUUUCUAGGGCGAAUGAUGGCUUCCCGUGAGCGUUGUUGCCUCGCGGUUGGUUGAAAAUCGAGUCCUUGGUAGGGUGUGCCAUGGUAGAUGGUGGUCGGGUUAGAACGAUACCGAUCAUGUGCAUGCUCCCCAAAAUAUGGCCUCUAUGACCCACACGCGUCUUUUGACGCUCAUGACGAGACCUCAGGUCAGGCGGGGCUACCCGCUGAAUUUAAGCAUAUCAAUAAGCGGAGGA
rnacentral:misc_RNA from 1 species